rnacentral:rRNA from 1 species
ACUUAAGUGUUGUUGUUAAUUAAGAGUAUUAUUUUGUGUUAAUAAAGGGUGAAAUCGAUUUUUUGUUAUAUAAUUGAUUCUUGAAAUUAAAGUGAACUGAGGUUGUUAAGGUUAAGGUAUGAACCAGGAUUAGAUACCCUGUUACACUUUACUUAAAAUUAAAUACCUAGGUAGUAAUCAGUUAUGGUCUUGAAACUUAAAGGAUUUGGCGGUAACUUAGUCUAGUUAGAGGAACCUGUCCUGUAAUCGAUAAACCACGGAGAAUCUUACUUUACUUUGAAUUAUCAGUUUAUAUACCGUCAUUAUUAGAUAACUUUAAUAAAAUAAAAGUUAUUAAAAUAAUUUUUAGUUAAUAUAUUAGAUCAAGGUGUAGCUAAUGGUAAAGUAGAGAUGGGUUACAAUAAUAUUAAUUUAUAACGGAGUUAAAGAAGAAUUAGCUUUAAUGAAGGAGGAUUUAAAUGUAAAGUUAUUUUAAUAUGGUAUUUUGAUUAUAGCUCUAGGUUAUGUACACAUCGCCCGUCGCUCUCGUUAUAUAAAGCGAGAUAAGUCGUAACAUAGUAGAUGUACCGGAAGGUGUAUCUAG